rnacentral:lncRNA from 1 species
CAAAUAGUUGCCCCUCGUACCCGAUUCAUGACCGAUGGAAUCCAUGGGUUUUCUUUUGUUUUCUGAUGAGGCUUCUUCUAGUUUUCGUCGGGAAAGAGAACCAAGUAUCUCGCUAAAAAUUGAGGUAAUAGCACCCUAAACCAUUGCUUCCUCCACCGUCCUAAAGCCAUCAUUGCUGACCGAUUUUGAGACGGUUGAUUGCCAAAUUUCCUCUGGAUUCUUUUGAAUUCUAGCCUCCCCUGUUUCCUUCCUUUUCUUUCUUCCAUCGGACCGGCCAUCAUUGAACAAACGG